rnacentral:misc_RNA from 1 species
UCAAACUUGGUCAUUUAGAGGAAGUAAAAGUCGUAACAAGGUUUCCGUAGGUGAACCUGCGGAAGGAUCAUUAUUGAAUAAACUUGAUGGGUUGUUGCUGGCUUCUACGAGCAUGUGCACGCCUGUCAUCUUUAUCCAUCCACCUGUGCACCUUUUGUAGUCUCGGAGUAAUAAGUGUGAAGCUUAUCGAGGGGAAUACCUCGGAUAGAGGUCUGGCAUGUGCCUGACCUUUGCUUGCGCAAGUUCUCUGAGUCUAUGUCUUUCAUAUACCACGUAUAAAAUGUCUUUGAAUGUUCUUAAUAGGACCUAGUGCCUAUAAAAUAAAAUACAACUUUCAGCAACGGAUCUCUUGGCUCUCGCAUCGAUGAAGAACGCAGC